rnacentral:rRNA from 1 species
GCCUAGUACGGCGAGUGAGCGGCAACAGCUCAAAUUUGAAAUCUGGCCCUCGGGUCCGAGUUGUAAUUUGUAGAGGAUGCUUUUGGCGCGGUGCCUUCCGAGUUCCCUGGAACGGGACGCCUUAGAGGGUGAGAGCCCCGUACGGUUGGACACCAAGCCUCUGUAAAGCUCCUUCGACGAGUCGAGUAGCUUGGGAAUGCUGCUCUAAAUGGGAGGUAAAUUUCUUCUAAAGCUAAAUAUUGGCCAGAGACCGAUAGCGCACAAGUAGAGUGAUCGAAAGAUGAAAAGCACUUUGAAAAGAGGGUUAAACAGCACGUGAAAUUGUUGAAAGGGAAGCGUUUGCGACCAGACCUUUUCCUAGCGGAUCAUCCGGUGUUCUCACCGGUGCACUUCGCUAGGUCUAGGCCAGCAUCGGUUUCUGUAGGGGGAUAAAAGCUCUGGGAACGUAGCUCCUCCGGGAGUGUUAUAGCCCUCUGCAUAAUACCCUUACGGGGACCGAGGACCGCGCUUCGGCAAGGAUGCUGGCGUAAUGGUCGUCAACGACCCGUCUUGACCNNNNGNACCA